CAGAAAAUAGUUUAUGAAAAUAUUAAUUUUGGAGAUUAAUGAUAAGGAAUUAUUUCUUUUUUCUGA
rnacentral:tRNA from 1 species